AUCCCCUCUCCUCCUCACCAUUUUCUACACUUAAGCCUCUUUCUUUUGGUAUUUAUCUCCAGGUCUCCAAAUUAACAAGCUUGAAAUGCUGUUCCUUGCUCUUUCAAUGUUAGCCAUUAUCUGAUUUCUGUCCAGGAUAGAAGAUAAGGUGUCUUUCCUUCCACUGCCCCCACCAUACAUGUUCAUCCUUCCCCAUCCUCCAUUCUUCCUGUUCCACAAUGUUGUCAUCUCAGUCAAUGUUUGUGUUACAGUGGGUAUAAAACAUCACUCAUAGCUGAACCACAGCAAAUCGUGAUAACUUCCUUUCCUGCACACCUUUUUGUUGUCCUUGGAGCUAACAACUCUGUUACUUUCUGUUUGCUUCAUCUUCUACACAUUUAAAUUUGCUAUCUGUCAGUGUCUGCUCUCAAGACAUUCAGAAUCUUUGGGUACUCUAACAAUUUCAUCAAUCUCCCCCAAAAUCUCUCCCAAAGCCUUCUAAUGCACUGCAUCCUGGACCUGAGGCACAUCUCUCAUCUUGGAAUCUCGCUUCGUGGUCAUCCCAGGGUAGUUCCCUUCUGGAUGAGGCCUGGAACUAGGGCAGCCACCUGUCAAGCAACAGAGCAUGGAGCCAGCAAAGGACAGAGGGCCAUACAGAUAGCCAGAGCCAAAGCACUCCACCCUAUUUCUGGUUUUCCUGUGCUGUAAACCAAUAAAUUUAUUAUUCAAACA